UCGUCGCCGGUGAAGAUGAAGAAGAUGAUGAUGAAGAUAGAGAAAUUAGCAGGGAUUUUUGUGGCUCUCGAGUGUGGAUGUACUCUGCUUUGAUACCA